GGGUGUCUUUGCCCCAGGCUAUCUCUCUUCCUAUUCUGGGACCCAAGCCAGGUUUAGAUGUCAGGGUGUAGGAAGAGCUCACAGCUUGAUGAUGUUUUAGCAGCCCUCUUCAGGAGCCCAGAGGUGGUCAGUCAGUUGUCAUGCUCAGGCCAUCGGACUCAGAGUGGUGCCAAAAAUACUUCCAUUCCCCUUCUUUGCCCUUUAGUAGAUUCUUGUAACAUGGUCACUCUUGCUGGACCUAGCAUAUCAGGUAGCCAUGGCUAUUUCUUGUUGAACAGGUGACCCCUGUGCUAGCCACGUCACUGCUCACUCUCCACAUGCUAGCCAGGGCUGACACCCCUCCCACCCCACCCCACCCCACUCCACCCCCUUUCCUUUUUCUUCUGAGACAGGGUUUCUCUGUAUAACCCUGCUAUCCUAUAACUUGAUUUAUAGACUGAGUUGGCUGGAGAUCUACCUGCCUCUACCUCCUGAGUGCUGGGCUGAAAGUAAUGUGCUACCACACCAAGCUUGGCAGGUCCUUGUAACUCCUAAAGCUGCCACCUCUGUUUUCCAGCUGUUCUAGCCUCCUUCCUUGCACAGUAGUACUUAAGAUCAUCCUAGGCCCUUACGUCUCUCUGUCUGCAAUGAAGAAAGGGAUGGGAAUGUCCUUUUGGGACACUUGAUCCAGUUGCCUCUCUGGCUACUACAAACCCUAGAGUGCAGGCUCUGCUCCAAAGACCGUAUAGGGCUCUGGUACUGGUGAAGGAUCUGUCCCAGAUGCUGACAUGCAGACCCCACAUCUGGUAAGAGUCAGACUGUUAGAUGAGAAGCGCAAGCAUAUGGUGCCGUCAAGAGACUGUGGUAAGGUAGCCAAUGUGUCUCUACCCAGUUGUGUGCUUUCAGCAAUGCCUUACUUAGCUGAAGGCAUUUAGAUCUUGGGACUGUAGCCUGUACCAGGCUAGGCUCAGGCCACUGCUAGCUGCUCUUCCUGUGUUUCAGGUAGACUCUCCCACAACAUUAAUAAGCAUGGGUGCUUGUAGAAUCCUGGUAACUGCGCAUGUAGAACUAGGUAGUUGGGCUCUUAAGCUGGUUUCCAUGAGGCAGUGAAUGCUGUAGGCACAUGUUAGUCUGUGCCGGCUAAAAGGAGUUGAGACGUCUUGAGGAGCAGAGACUACAGCCCUUGUCUCCCAGUAGCAAGCGGCAUCAGAUGGACUGGUGCGUUACUGUAAGGAAGCUGACAAGAUUCCAGAAGGUUCUUCACCAGCCAUACUGGUUUGCUCAUCAUCGCCACAUUAAAGGACAAAUGGUGGCAUUUGUAGCAGAGAAUCAGUGGAUACAACGUCUCCCAGCGUAAGCAAAUAUCCAUGCAUAAAACCUGAAAACUGCUAAAGGUUAGAGUUUUUUAAAAAACAAAACAAAAACAGCAAGGCAGGCUCCUGGGUUCUACAUCUUCCUUCUCUUCCUUCCAUCAGUUUGGAUGGUUGGCGUUCACUCGGGCUUCCUCUCCUCAUUGGAACUUAGUGUGACUUACAUGCGGUCAUUCUUUGAGAAAAUCUUUUGUUAAUAUUAAUGUUUCUUAGACAUGUUGAUUCAUCUUUUUAAAAGAUGGGGAACCUGUAUCUUUGGUGCUUGGCAUGGAUUGUGUCCUAGAGAAGAUGCUCAGGCGAGCUGAAGUCCAUAGAUCCUGUCGGGCAUAGUACUUGCUCAGGGAGUGGGACUUUGGGACAUUUCAUCUGUUGGUCAACCUUUUUUCCUACCCUCCUCUUCUUUUUCAUUCCUUGUGAUAGCCUCUGCUAGGGGAGGUGUCAUUCAGUUCAAUAGCAUUUUUAACCAAACCAUAUUAUUAGAAAUGGUCAAAAUAAGUUUAGAAGGAAAUUGUUUUAUGUACUUUAAAAACAAAUCUCCCAGAUGCAUUCAUGAGGAAAUACCGUACUUUGUCUUAAUUUAAAAAAAAAAAAAAAACACUUUAAAAAAGGAAAGAAACCCACAGUAUACCUUUCCCAGAGGCUAGCCUGGUGUGGUCAGUCCAGUUUUGGAAGCACUGCCCCAGCCAGACCCUUAUUCUUUCGUAAGAUCACUGGCUGGAGGGGUGCCCCCAGCAGGCAGAGCUCAGUGCUGUUUGCUUUGAUAAUCGUUAAGCCAUAUCAUCUGAGGUUUCCGGCUUGAGAUGUGAAUUUGUUUUAUAGACUAUAAAUAUACAGUGUAUGUAUAAAGCAGAAUGCCUGUCCUUCUGAUUAUUUUUUGUACCAUAUUGUAAAUUACAUUAUUUAUUCUUUACCAAUUUUUUGGGAAUAAAAGGUGUUUUGGUUAUUUAAUAAACAAGAACUGUUAAAACUUCGGC
rnacentral:lncRNA from 1 species